rnacentral:rRNA from 1 species
GGGUAGAGUAAUGCGUGACCAACCUGCCCCAUGCUCCAGAAUAGCUCUUGAAACGGGGUGGUAAUGCUGGAUGCUCCAACUUGACGCAUGUCUUGUUGGGAAAGUGUUUAGUGGCAUGGGAUGGGGUCGCGUCCUAUCAGCUUGUAGGCGGGGUAAUGGCCCACCUAGGCUUCGACGGGUAGCCGGCCUGAGAGGGCGGACGGCCACAUUGGGACUGAGAUACGGCCCAGACUCCUACGGGAGGCAGCAGGC